rnacentral:rRNA from 1 species
CUACGGGCCGCAGCAGGUAAGAAACCUUCACAAUGCUUGAAAGAGUGAUGGGGGAAUCCUGAGUGAACACACAUUGUGUGUUCUUUUGUUAAGUCUAGACAGCUUAACGAAUAAGUGGUGGGUAAGACGGUUGCCAGCCGCCGCGGUAAUAACCGCGCCACAAGUGGUAGUCACGUUUAUUGGGCCUAAAGCGUCCGUAGCUGGUUUGAUGUGUCUUCGGUGAAAUCCUAUAGCAAACUAUAGGAAUUGCUGGAGAUACUGUCAGACUUGGAGCCGGGAGAGGUCAGGGGUACUUAUGGGGUAGGGGUAAAAUCCUUUAAUCCUAUAGGGACCACCAGUGGCGAAGGCGCCUGACUGGAACGGACUCGACAGUGAGGGACGAAAGUGUAGGGAGCGAACGGGAUUAGAUACCCGCGUAGUC